UACGUAGGCAGCGAGCGUUGUUCGGAGUUACUGGGCGUAAAGGGUGCGUAGGCGGUUGUUUAAGUUUGGUGUGAAAUCUCCCGGCUCAACUGGGAGGGUGCGCCGAAUACUGAAUGACUAGAGUGCGGGAGAGGAGAGUGGAAUUCCUGGUGUAGCGGUGAAAUGCGUAGAUAUCAGGAGGAACACCGGUGGUGUAGACGGCUCUCUGGACCGUAACUGACGCUGAGGCACGAAAGCGUGGGGAGCAAACAGG
rnacentral:rRNA from 1 species